UGGGGAAUCUUGCACAAUGGGGGCAACCCUGAUGCAGCGACGCCGCGUGGGCGAUGAAGCCCUUCGGGGCGUAAAGCUCUUUCGACCGGAACGAUAAUGACGGUACCGGGAGAAGAAGCUGCGGCUAACUACGUGCCAGCAGCCGCGGUAAUACGUAGGCAGCAAGCGUUGUUCGGAGUUACUGGGCGUAAAGAGUGCGUAGGCGGUUUUCUAAGUUCGGUGUGAAAUCUCCCGGCUUAACUGGGAGGGUGCGCCGAAGACUGGGAAGCUGGAGUGUGGGAAAGGCAGGCGGAAUUCCUGGUGUAGCGGUGAAAUGCGUAGAUAUCAGGAGGAACACCGGCGGUGUAGACGGCUUGCUAGACCAUAACUGACGCUGAGGCACGAAAGCGUGGGUAGCAAACA
rnacentral:rRNA from 1 species